rnacentral:rRNA from 1 species
CUACGGAGGAUGCGAGCGUUAUCCGGAUUUAUUGGGUUUAAAGGGAGCGUAGGUGGGAUAUUAAGUCAGCUGUGAAAGUUUGGGGCUCAACCUUAAAAUUGCAGUUGAUACUGGUUUCCUUGAGUACGGUACAGGUGGGCGGAAUUCGUGGUGUAGCGGUGAAAUGCUUAGAUAUCACGAAGAACUCCGAUCGCGAAGGCAGCUCACCGAGCCGGAACUGACACUGAUGCUCGAAAGUGCGGGUAUCAAACAGGAUUAGAUACCCUGGUAGUCCGCACAGUAAACGAUGAAUACUCGCUGUUCGCGAUACACGGUAAGCGGCCAAGCGAAAGCGUUAAGUAUUCCACCUGGGGAGUACGCCGGCAACGGUGAAACUCAAAGGAAGUGACGGGG